UACGGGGGGAGCAAGCGUUGUUCGGAUUUACUGGGCGUAAAGGGCGCGUAGGCGGUCGUGACAAGUCACUUGUGAAAUCUCCGGGCUUAACUCGGAACGGUCAAGUGAUACUGUCGGACUAGAGUACAGAAGGGGCAACGUGGAAUUCUCGGGAUGUAGCGGUGAAAUGCGCAGAUAUCGGGAGGAACACCAAUUGCGAAGGCAGCUCGCUGGGACGUUACGUGACGCAGAGACGGCGAAAAGCGGUGG
rnacentral:rRNA from 1 species